rnacentral:rRNA from 1 species
UACGUAGGGUGCAAGCGUUUGUCCGGAAUUAUUGGGCGUAAAGGGUGCGUAGGCGGCGCGGUAAGUCGGGUGUGAAAUCUCGGAGCUUAACUCCGAAACUGCAUUCGAUACUGCCGUGCUUGAGGACUGGAGAGGAGACUGGAAUUUACGGUGUAGCGGUGAAAUGCGUAGAUAUCGUAAGGAAGACCAGUGGCGAAGGCGGGUCUCUGGACAGUUCCUGACGCUGAGGCACGAAGGUCAGGGGAGCAAACGGG